UCUUUUUCUUCUUAUCUUCUGCUCUUUCCUGCUCCUACCCUGUUGAUUUCAAUCUCAGAGUUUGAGUUCUUUUGAGUGAUGGAUUGAUGCAAACCUUGUUAGAUUGAUGAUUGAGGAAGGAAGUGAUGAUUAUGAAGCCGAUUGAAUUCUGGAAAAGCAGAGAGUCGUUAAUCUUUAUUAACAACGAUCGAUCCAAAGGAUGAACCAGUAGAUUGUAAAUCUCGGGUUAGGCGAGGCUUGUCAUCAAAAGAGAACUGUGAAUCAUGUUAGUGAUUACUUGGAAGUUAUAUGUUUCUUUGGGCACCCUUUGGGACGAUGUGCUCACUUGUUCCCACUUCAGUUUCAGUAAUCAGAAGGAAUGGAGCGUGCAAAGAUAUUUGUUUCGUAGCUUAGUGCUCUACCGAAUAUAGUGUUGUCAUGUAUCUGUAUUAGAUGUAUUCUUUCUUUAUUCAGUAAAACAAUACAUUUAUAUAUUUAUAACAUGAGAGACUUUCAAACAUACUGUAUCAGAGAGUUUGGGUUUGUUUGUUAGCACUUUAUGUGAAUAUGGUUCUUAAGAUU